rnacentral:lncRNA from 1 species
CCAUGGAAUAUUAUUGAAGUCCUACUCAGCACAGUACGUUUUCAGUAGCCUUCGGAGCAAGGCUAACAAUAGGGACAUAAAUUAUUCACUUUUUCGAACAAAACUACAUUUGUUAUGGACCUGGGAAACCUGGAAGUGCUUUCUGAUAAAGAUAAUCAAAGAAAACGAGAUGGUGCAUCUUAAGAGAUUUCAUCCUGCAAAAUGAAAAAAAAAUCUUAUAACAAUCCCAUUAGCAGUGAUUACAGCUGUGAGUCUUUCUGGUCAACAAGGGAGAACGCGGGACAUAGAUCAACUGGUGACAGAAUCAGUG